rnacentral:rRNA from 1 species
AUUGAACGCUGGCGGCAGGCCUAACACAUGCAAGUCGAGCGAGUGGCGGACGGGUGAGUAAUGUAUGGGAAUCUGCCCGAUAGAGGGGGAUAACUACUGGAAACGGUAGCUAAUACCGCAUACUAUCGGAUGUACCCAUAUGGGAUUAGCUAGUCGGUGGUGUAAAGGCUCACCAAGGCGACGAUCCCUAGCUGGUCUGAGAGGAUGAUCAGCCACACUGGGACUGAGACACGGCCCAGACUCCUACGGGAGGCAGCAGUGGGGAAUAUUGCACAAUGGGCGAAAGCCUGAUGCAGCCAUGCCGCGUGUAUGAAGAAGGCCUUAGGGUUGUAAAGUACUUUCAGCGGGGAGGCGUUACCCGCAGAAGAAGCACCGGCUAACUCCGUGCCAGCAGCAGCGGUAAUUC